ACCAGUGUGGUGUAGUGGUUUGAGCACUGGACUACGACUCAGGAGACCAAGGUUCGACUCCCUCACCUUGGGU